UACUGAUCCGUAUAUUGUGGCUAGGACUAAGCUAGAAGAGCACUUUUCGCCAAAACAUCAUGAAUGUUUUGAGCGUUACUUAUUCUGGACCAUGAGGGCCCAGAUAAGCUGAAAUUCCGUUCCGAUUCCGUUCUGUUUUGACGUUGUGGAUCGCAGUGGAACUUAUGUUCAACCCUGUGCAUAUGUCUAAACCAAAGCAAAACAAAUCGAUCAUCUCUUUUUCUCCUAUCAAUUUUUCUUUCGUGUGUCAUCAUGCGUUGCGUUACCAGUCAGAAAGAGAUAAAAAACUUUGUUUACAUAUAGUAUUAAAAGCAGCAAACGAAAAUUUCAAUCACAUUUUAAAUCUUUCUGCAAUUAAAAAUAUAUAUUAGCAAAAGUUUUUCACUACAAUCGGAGCAUAAAAAAGUUCCGGAAGUGCUUGUGGAGUUUUGUUGUUGUUUUUCCGAAUAGUAAGCUAGCGAGAGUGGAUAUUUUUUAACACCAUGUCAACAAAAAUGACAAAUUGUUGAUGAGCGAUGUACGGUUGAAAUAAUGCCUGAUGAUAAAUUCUAUUCUAUUGCGAACAAUAAAUCACCUUUGUGUAUUGGUAUUAUGAUGUGUAAUUAUGAUGUGUAAUUCGAUUAAUCCAAAUCAGAUUAGAAACUAGUGUAGGAAGAUCUUGUGUAGUGUUUUAAGGAGCCAAUAAGAAGAUCAUGUAGUGAGAAGACUUCACCCCGGAAGCUUAAACAAGUUGAAGGCUCUUUUGUAUGGCAAUACAAAUUACGAAAUUACAACGAGUGAAACGUGUUAGCAUCUUUGAUACACAGCUGCUAUUUGGACCAGCGAUCAUGCAGUUUUGAAGGCUACACGUGGAAAUGGAUACCCUCGAUACGAGAUUUCAACGUGCCAUAAUGCGAUUUGGAGCUGGCUGAUAACUAUUCGACUAAAACUAUAUAAGGAAUAGACAAACGAAUGAAAUAUCA